GAUGAAGAACGUAGCGAAAUGCGAUAAGUAAUGUGAAUUGCAGAAUUCAGUGAAUCAUCGAAUCUUUGAACGCACAUUGCGCCCGCUAGUAUUCUGGCGGGCAUGCCUGUCCGAGCGUCAUUUCAACCCUCAAGCCCCCGGGCUUGGUGUUGGGGAUCGGCGAGCCUCCGCGCCCGCCGUCCCCUAAAUCUAGUGGCGGUCUCGCUGUAGCUUCCUCUGCGUAGUAGCACACCUCGCACUGGGAAACAGCGCGGCCACGCCGUUAAACCCCCAACUUCUGAACGUUUGACCUCGGAUCAGGCAGGGAUACCCGCUGAACUUAAGCAUAUCAAUAAGCGGAGGA
rnacentral:misc_RNA from 1 species